AUACUUUGUAAAAUUGCAAAACAGGGAAAGGCAAUUAGAGCAUUAAGUGCAGUUUACCCAGAUAUUUCAAACAAAUUCAACAAUUUUUAAUUACUAAUUAAAGCGGUUUCAUUUAGAGUUAAUUCGCAAUUAUGAUAAUUUUAAUUUUACCACAAUUCAAGAAAUCAUUAUGAGUAUUUACUAAAUUCAAGAAAUGAUUAUGAAUAUUGAUUAGGUUCAACAACUACAGCUCAUAGAAGAAUUUGAGGAGUUUUAGCAAUUUCCAACUACUGAAUGGUUCCCUUUUGGAGUGAAGCCCAUAAUAACGAUAAUCCCAACUCAACCGCAACGUGGCCCACACACUGUAGCGUUGCAUUGGCCAAAUUCACUUUUCAGCCAACUCACUUUGCCCACAGAAAAGCAGCCAUGGAAGGCGAGGAGCCGAAUCAAGUCGUUCCUUCAUUGCCCAUAAAUGUCUUAUCUAAUUUUCAAAUGAGGUAAACAUCGCCUUGCAUUCAUAAUUGCAUAUUCAAAGUGUCUCGCCCACAGAAAGACAGCCAGACAGGCAUAUUUACAUGCAUAUACAGACGGGGGGCGUUUGGAAGGAAAAUGGCCAAGACAGUUCAACAUGUUUAUUACAUUUUCCACACCAUCAUUUCGCUUUCCUCGAGCUGGAGCACUCGUGUCCAUUUCCUAGCGUUUAUUUUGCGGUGUGGGCAUUACUUUUUAUUAGCACCAGCAAAAAGGGGGUUUGCUUUUUCUGCUAUCUGUAUCUGUAUCGGUCUCGGUUUUUGGUUUUAGCUUUGGUUUCUUCUGUUUUUCUACUCCUUUUUUAUUGCUGCAGUUUGGCCGCCUGUUGCAGCGACCACAAAGAUUGGGUUUCAAUUUGCAUUUUCGGCUUCAUUGAAGCCGCUGCAAUUUGCAGAGUGGGUUAAAUAAAGUGGGCCACGGAUUUAUCACGUUUUUCCUCCAGUCGGUUUGUAGGACAUGUGCUGCUAACCGAUAUUUGAGCCAUAAGGCCCGUACCCGUACCCGUUAAGUCGAGUCGAGUUGAGCCGAGUGCUGAGGCACAGCUCUUUUUUAUUACCAUAUUGGGGCUAACUCUCUUGGUGGCUAGUUGUUUCUGGUAGCUCUAGCUUUUGUUUAUGUAACUGUAGCGUUUGCAGUUUAUUGAUUAUGCAAUAAAUAAUCGCCAGCACAAUGCCCGAGCUGCGAACUGGUGUUGUAAUGCUCUCCUUCGACACCCCCGGCCACCGCCACCACCCCCCGUUUGCCCAACAAACUCAAUGUGUGGCUAAUGCCAAAAGAAUGGCUGCAAUAAAAAUCUGGCUAAUGGCUCUGAUGGGGAGCCGAGCUGGCACUUCAUUCAGGCGCUGCUUUUGGACUCUUUUCACGAAAUCAUUAAACUCAGUAGUUAGUAGCUACACAUUUUAUUUAAAGAUUUCGCAAUAAUAGAGUAAUUAAUAUUCUAUUAUUAAGUGAAUUAACAAAGUCAGUAAAAUUAGCCAAGCUUUAUAGAACCAGGUGUGGUUAAUUGCUAUAAGAGACCUACAUGGAAUUACUUCAUAACCAUAACUAAAGAACCUUAGGCGAAACGGUCUUAUGAAUGGAGAUUGUAUGAUUCGGCAUUGACAAGUGGAAAUUAGAAACCCGAUAAUAUGUGUAGAUUAGUGGGUCAACGUCUCGGGUUUUGGCAGUGAACAGUUAAAAUCGUCUGGUCUUGGAUUUUCGUAACAGUUUUUCAACCGGGCUUAUUUAAAUGAUGGCCAACUAAACACGCUCGGCUUGUUGGCGGCAGCCAAGUGGAAAGUGAAUGCGGGAAACAUUGCAGACAUCUUGAUUUUGUGCCUGUGUUGGACAUUAUGUGAUGUUAGUGGGCCAACUUUAUGGCCGGUUCGACGAUCCCAAGCGAUCGCAACGCGUAAUCGCCGGCAAUUUGACGGAAAAUGUUUGAUAUUGUGUGUAAAUGCAAUCAAAAAUAGCAAAGCUAAUAACAAGCCGCUGUCUGACGCUUUAAUUGUCCUGGUUAUGCAGCUCAUAAUUAUAUCAGAGUAAUGCUUUCUAAGUAAUUAUGCAAUCAAUGGCUUAAUAAAGAACAUCUUGGGUACUCA